GACUCCACCCAUCGAACAUUCAGUUGAGCAGGUAAACAGGUAAGUAGCCUAAGGGAAUUGUCCAAAACAGAAACGGAAGCUUAACGGCCAUUUUAAAAACGGAGGAGAAAGGAAUCCUAGGAAAGAAGGAAUAAAAUGAAAUGUAAAAAACGGAGUAAACGGUCUGUUGUGGAGUGGAACUGAGCUGCUUAUAUGUCGGGUGAACGGACAAGGAAGACCGCAGGCACCUAUUACGCGAAAAAGCUUCCACCCAUAGGGUUCGGGUAGAGAGGGCAGGGUCACCUGUACCCAGCU